rnacentral:rRNA from 1 species
GACGAACCGAGCGAACGUUGUUCGGAAUUACUGGGCGUAAAGGGUGCGUAGGUGGUUUGUUAAGUCUGCUGUGAAAUCCCCGGGCUCAACCUGGGAAUGGCAGUGGAUACUGGCAAGCUAGAGUGCGGUAGAGGGUAGUGGAAUUCCCGGUGUAGCAGUGAAAUGCGUAGAGAUCGGGAGGAACACCAGUGGCGAAGGCGGCUACCUGGACCAGCACUGACACUGAAGCACGAAAGCGUGGGGAGCGAACAGG